UAGGGAAUCUUCCGCAAUGGGCGAAAGCCUGACGGAGCAACGCCGCGUGAGUGAUGAAGGUCUUCGGAUCGUAAAACUCUGUUAUUCGGGAAGAACAAAUGUGUAAGUAACUAUGCACGUCUUGACGGUACCUAAUCAGAAAGCCACGGCUAACUACGUGCCAGCAGCCGCGGUAAUACGUAGGUUGCAAGCGUUAUCCGGAAUUAUUGGGCGUCAAGCGAGCGUAGGCGGUUUUUUAAGUCUGAUGUGAAAGCCCACGGCUCAACCGUGGAGGGUCAUUGGAAACUGGAAAACUUGAGUGCAGAAGAGGAAAGUGGAAUUCCAUGUGUAGCGGUGAAAUGCGCAGAGAUAUGGAGGAACACCAGUGGCGAAGGCGACUUUCUGGUCUGUAACUGACGCUGAUGUGCGAAAGCGUGGGGAUCAAACAGG
rnacentral:rRNA from 1 species